rnacentral:rRNA from 1 species
UACGGAGGGAGCUAGCGUUUGUUGUCGGGAAUUCUGGGCGUAAAGCGCGCGUAGGCGGACUUUGUAAGUUAGAACGGUGAAAGCCCGGGGCUCAACCCCGGAAUUGCCUUUUAAGACGUGCAAUCGCUUGAAUCCGGGAGAGGUGAGUGGAAUUCCGAGUGUAGAGGUGAAAUUCGUAGAUAUUCGGAAGAACCACCAGUGGCGAAGGCGGCUCACUGGACCGGCAUUGACGCUGAGGUGCGAAAGCGUGGGGAGCAAACAGG